rnacentral:rRNA from 1 species
UACGUAGGGACCAAGCGUUGUUCGGAUUUACUGGGCGUAAAGGGCGCGUAGGCGGCAAAUUAAGUCAUCUGUGAAAUCUCCGAGCUUAACUCGGAACGGUCAGGUGGUACUGAUCUGCUAGAGUGCGGAAGGGGCAAUCGGAAUUCUUGGUGUAGCGGUGAAAUGCGUAGAUAUCAAGAGGAACACCUGAGGUGAAGACGGGUUGCUGGGCCGACACUGACGCUGACAGCGCGAAAGCCAGGGGAGCAAACGGG